rnacentral:rRNA from 1 species
AUGGCGAUUAACCGACGGCCAAAGAAGAAGAGAAACACAAGAGCGGCUCGCCGCGAACCGCUCGACUGGCUGGAUCUCCCCUCCGAACUGCUGGAGCUCAUCGCCCAGCGAUCCCGCGAUCCCAUCAGAGGGCUCACCGCGUUCCGGUCUGUCUGCCGGACAUGGCGGGCCGCGGCAGGGCAAGCGCCUCGCCUGCUGCUUCCCGCCCCUCGGAACCGCUCCGCUCCCCGUGCCGGCUCAGAGCACGCGCUCGUCUUCCCCUUGCCGGGCGGGUGGUCGGUCGUCGUCGAUGCCCGCGACGUGUCCUGCCGUCUCUCGCACCUGACCACGGGCGCCACCGCCGCUCUGCCCAAGAUCAGCGCGGUCCACGACGGCAAGACCAUGUCCGACAUCACUUACGAUGUAUCCUUCCGAACAUACCUCGAAUUCUCAGAUCACUUCCGCUUCGCCAUUCAUGCCCCGACCGGUACUUUGGCAGCAGGCACAGACAAGAUGAUGAUCAUCAUGUGCCACUGCUACUUGCUACGAGAGAGCAUAGUGGUCUGCCGGCCCGGAGACGCGGCAUGGACGAGGCUGCCCAAAGGCCCGUCUUCUCGUCACGACUAUUUCAUUGACGUAACCUCUUUUCAGGGCAAAAUUUAUGGCUUGGAAUCUAAUGGUGCCACAUUGGUGUUUGACGCAACUACACUUGAGUUCCUCUGCUCGAUUCAUGUGCCACAGUCGACGUCCAAACUUUACUCCGUGAUAUAUUGGGCUUCCACUUCCAGAGAUGACGAUCCUGUCGAUUUCGACUAUUUCCAUCUCGUUGCAUUGCCAAGCAAGCUACUUUUGGUCGUUGUAAGCGUGAAAUCACUUGAGCCAACAGGUUUCGCCUUCUUUGAGUUAACGUCUGGAUCUAGGGAUGGCCGGCUCUCCUGGCGUAAGGUGACAGGAGAUGGAAUCGGUGGCAACUACGAUGUGUUCAUGGAUUGCCACCAUGCGACCUUUAGCGACAAUAACGGUGUUGGAACCGGAGCUCGGGUAUAUUAUGUUCUUCAGCGGACGUGGCAUCCCAAAGCAUCCACGUACUAUUAUGAGAUACAUGACGGCAAGAUGGAGUGCCUGUACAGGUCACCAGACGAUCAUUGUGAAUACUCAACUAAGCCUAGUUGGUUUGUUCCCUAG